rnacentral:tRNA from 2 species
GCGGCCGUAGCUCAGUUGGUAGAGCCCCGGAUUGUGAUUCCGGUUGUCGUGGGUUCGAGCCCCAUCGGUCGCCCCA